GACGAACGCUGGCGGCGUGCCUAAUACAUGCAAGUUGAGCGCUGAAGGUUGGUACUUGUACCAACUGGAUGAGCAGCGAACGGGUGAGUAACGCGUGGGGAAUCUGCCUUUGAGCGGGGGACAACAUUUGGAAACGAAUGCUAAUACCGCAUAAAAACUUUAAACACAAGUUUUAAGUUUGAAAGAUGCAAUUGCAUCACUCAAAGAUGGUCCCGCGUUGUAUUAGCUAGUUGGUGAGGUAAAGGCUCACCAAGGCGAUGAUACAUAGCCGACCUGAAAGGGUGAUCGGCCACAUUGGGACUGAGACACGGCCCAAACUCCUACGGGAGGCAGCAGUAGGGAAUCUUCGGCAAUGGACGAAAGUCUGACCGAGCAACGCCGCGUGAGUGAAGAAGGUUUUCGGAUCGUAAAAAUCUGUUGGUAGAGAAGAACGUUGGUGAGAGUGGAAAGCUCAUCAAGUGACGGUAACUACCCAGAAAGGGACGGCUAACUACGUG
rnacentral:rRNA from 1 species